rnacentral:rRNA from 1 species
AUUGAACGCUGGCGGCAUGCUUUACACAUGCAAGUCGAACGGUAACAGGCCGCAAGGUGCUGACGAGUGGCGAACGGGUGAGUAAUGCAUCGGAACGUGCCCAGUCGUGGGGGAUAACGCAGCGAAAGCUGCGCUAAUACCGCAUACGAUCUAUGGAUGAAAGCGGGGGACCGUAAGGCCUCGCGCGAUUGGAGCGGCCGAUGUCAGAUGAGGUAGUUGGUGGGGUAAGGGCUCACCAAGACAACGAUCUGUAGCUGGUCUGAGAGGACGACCAGCCACACGGGGACUGAGAAGCGGCCCAGACUCCUACGGGAGGCAGCAGUGGGGAAUUUUGGACAAUGGGCGCAAGCCUGAUCCAGCAAUGCCGCGUGCAGGAAGAAGGCCUUCGGGUUGUAAACUGCUUUUGUACGGAACGAAACGGUCCUGGUUAAUACCCGGGGCUAAUGACGGUACCGUAAGAAUAAGCACCGGCUAACUACGUGCCAGCCGCCGCUGUAAUAC